CACGUAGGGUGCGAGCGUUGUCCGGAAUUAUUGGGCGUAAAGAGCUCGUAGGCGGUGUGUCGCGUCGGCCGUGAAAACCUGUGGCUUAACUAUGGGCUUGCGGUCGAUACGGGCAUCACUGGAGUUCGGCAGGGGAGACUGGAAUUCCUGGUGUAGCGGUGAAAUGCGCAGAUAUCAGGAGGAACACCGGUGGCGAAGGCGGGUCUCUGGGCCGAAACUGACGCUGAGGAGCGAAAGCGUGGGGAGCGAACAGG
rnacentral:rRNA from 1 species